GACGAACGCUGGCGGCGUGCCUAAUACAUGCAAGUUGAGCGCUGAAGGUUGGUACUUGUACCAACUGGAUGAGCAGCGAACGGGUGAGUAACGCGUGGGGAAUCUGCCUUUGAGCGGGGGACAACAUCUGGAAACGAAUGCUAAUACCGCAUAAAAACUUUAAACACAAGUUUUAAGUUUGAAAGAUGCAAUUGCAUCACUCAAAGAUGAUCCCGCGUUGUAUUAGCUAGUUGGUGAGGUAAAGGCUCACCAAGGCGAUGAUACAUAGCCGACCUGAGAGGGUGAUCGGCCACAUUUGGACUGAGACACGGGCCAAACUCCUACGGGAAGCAGCAGUAGGGAAACUUCGGCAAUGGACGAAAGGCUGACCGAGCAACGCCGCGUGAGUGAAGAAGGGUUUCGGAUCGGAAAACUCUGUUGGUAGGGAAGAACGUUGGUGAGAGUGGAAAGCUCAUCAAGUGACGGUAACUACCCAGAAAGGGACGGCUAACUACGUG
rnacentral:rRNA from 1 species